GACGAUAAAUAUCUUGUGACUUUAUCGUUUGUUUACCUUCCUGGUUGAAAUAUUUUAUCAAGUUAAAGACAUUUGUGUAACUCCUUCAAAUUCAGGUAAAAUUAUUGCUGUUUUAUUGCAUUUCAAUGACAAAAAGAAAGGAAUUGUGUUAAAUACCAUCUGAGCUCCAGUACGUAUAGUUAACAUUGAUAGUUAAGGUUCAUCAUAACAAAUGGACAAAUAUGGCCGUAUUUUCACCUUAAAAACUACUCUGUGUACAGUAUUACCUGUGCUGUUUGGAAAGUUUUAAUGCCUAGCAUCAACUAGAUAUAUAAAAGUUAAAUUCAUUUUGUGUUAAAGAAAGAUAAAAUCUUUUUUGGUUUUUGCUGGGCAUUGUUUUUCCUUUCUGCAGAAGGUGUAAAAAUAAACAAACACCUGAAUUACUUUGAUACUGUUCACUCGCUGACUCAGAUGAACUCUUUAACUCACCUGUAGUUGUGAAGAUACCUCUUGUCCAUGUCAAUUAAGGACAAACAAAACAAUACAAACCGGUUUUUUUACCUGAGGGAGCAUCUCAUAGUUGUUCCACAACUUAGUUAAUUUUCAGACCAUUUGCAUGAAGGAAAAAAAAAUGCCCAGCAAAAUCCAAAAGAGAUUUUAUCUUUCUAAAACACAAAAUGCAUUUAACUUUAUUAUAUCUAGUGGAUGCCAGGCAUUAAAAGUUUUCCAACUUCACAGGUAAGUCUGUACUCAGAAUAAUUUUUGGCAUGUAAAUACAGCCAUAUUUGUCCGUUUGUUAUGAUGAACCUUAAGGUUCAUGUGGACCCUAUGGCUAAAAUGGCCGUAUUUUCACCUCAAAAUUUAAUCUGAGUACAGGGAAACCUGUGCAUUUUGAUAAGUUUUAAGGCAUAGCAUGCCCUAGAUAAAUAGAAUUCAAAUGCAUUGUAUGAUUUAGAAAAUUCAUAAUUUAACUGAAUUUUACCAUACACUUUUUUCGUCUCUGCAGAAGAUGAUAAAAUUAACAAACAGUUGAGUUUACCUUGAUAUGGUCCACUCAGGUACACAGUUUAAAUAACCAAUUGUUGUCAGGUAUCUAUUGUCCAUCUCAUGUCCAUGUCAAACAAAACAGCUCACUUCAAUAAUUACCUGUGGGGAAGCUCAAACCUGUUUCCCAACUUAGUUUAUUUUGGCACCUUCUAGAGGAAUAAAAAAAGUGCACGGCAAAAUCCUGGUAAGUUUUUAUUUUUCUAAAACACAAAACUUAUUUGAAAUUUAUUUAUCUAGGGCAUGCUAUGCCUGAAAUUUUUUUACAGAUGCACAGGUUUGUCUGUACUCAGAGUAAAUUUUGAGGUGAAAAUACGGCCAUUUUAGCCAUAGGGUCCACAUGAACCUUAACAUGUUUUGACAAGCAAUUUUGUGACACAGAAUGCAAUUGAUGGUCUCUAAAACACAUUUUUUUCUCCGUGUACACUAUCAAAAAAAAAUUUUGUCCUGUAUACAAUGUUUCCCCAUCACGUUUAAUGAUACGCUAAGUAUGGUUUAAUAAAUUCUUAUAAAUUGCGUCAACUGGCCAUAGCUAGUCUACAUAAUGAAUAGUAAUAUCAAUUUUGAUAAUCUUCAUACUAUUCGUUCGAGGGUUAUCGAACUUUAACCGUCAAAACCUAGGAAUUGUUCAUACGUUUUAUCUAUAAAUAUAAUUUCAGCAAUUUCCUAAUUUUUUUCUUAAAAGUCAAUGCUGAUUAUCAAAGUAUGCCCUAAUUUCCGUAAAGACGAUUUUCGUAUUGCAUGUACAUAAGUAAUAACAAAUUAACAUAAAAAAACAAGUUUCGUUCAUAUCACUUUCAACCCUAGUUUUUGAUGUGGUUCGUGUUGUUUAUUCUUUAGUUUUCUAUGUUGUGUCGUGUGUACAAUUGUUUGUCUGUUUGUCUUUUUCAUUUUUGGCCAUGGCGUUGUCAGUUUAUUUUCGGUUUAUGAGUUUGACUGCCCCUUUGGUACCUUUCCUCCCUUUUUUUUUAAUAUCUUUAGAAUACAUUGUGGACCAUUUUUUUUUUUUUUUUUUUUUAAUUUCUAGUUUAAUCUGCAUCCAGUGUUCACUCCCAAUGAUCAGUUAAAGUGCAUAUUAAUAUAAUUGCUCCUUUUGCUUUCAGCAAUGAAUCUGUUUCUCUUGUUGCAUAGCUGUGAUGUUUUCCCACACCUGGCACAUAUCUCUUAAAAAUAUAUACCUUCAUUCUUUUAUAUAUUUAAGUAUAAACUGGUUUAAUUCAGAAACGAGUGUGUAUUGUAAUGGGAAGUUUGUUCAUUAAAACAUUCGAUCUGGAAACUAAAAACAGUUGGAAUGUCAAAUCAGCCAAUCUGAAACGCAAAUGAAUGACAAUUAUCUGUUAUACAUAAGAGAAAUGGAACACUGUAUAUAUUAAUUUCAUAUUUGCAUAUGGAGAUGAAUUUACUUUUUGCGAACUCCUCGGGUUUUCAUGUUAAGAAAGAUACUUGAAAAGUAUCUAUAAUGAUAGUAACGUUAAAAAAAAGCAUGUAAGGCUUGUAAAAACAAUUUCCACACCCUCUGUAAUUUUUCAUAUUUAUAUGCUUCCACAGAAUAUGACUUCUUAGGAAAUAUCCUUUAAUUAGAAAUGUUGCAUUUAAUAAUACUAGAUUAUAGACACGUUUUGUAUGAUAAAGUAAUUUUUUUACAAAUUUUGGAACACUACCAGUUUUCUAGUUAUAAAUUAUUUGAUACUUUAAUACGACUUGGGAAAUAUGGUUCAUGGAUGAGUAUCGCCCUGUUCAUAGCUAAAUGGGAAACAUUGUUCUGUUUGUACUUUGGCUUUACUAGCAAAAUGUCUUAUAAAACAUCAUUUAAAUAUUGCUACAUGUAGAAGAACAAACUUUGGAGAUUUCAUAUUGAUUAUUGUAUUACAGUUUAAUUAAAUUCGUUUGUACAAUGAUAACAAAUAUUAAUCGUUUACAGAUGAUUAAUCGUUUACAUAGAAGCAAAUAUAAGCAUAUUAUCAUAAGAAACGAAAAACAUUUAUUUUUAUUAAAAGUACUCGUGCUUCUAAAUAAAGGCAAUAGUAGUAUACCGGUGUUCGAAAGUCCUAAAUCGAUUGAAAGAAUACAAAUCUUGGUUACAACCCAAAACCACAGGAACACAUCAACUAUAAGAGGGAAACAAAGGAACAGCAGGAACACUGAUGUGCAACAAAAACAAACGCAAACAUACAUAAAAACAAACUAUUUGAUAACAACUGCCUUAUUCGUGACUUGGUAUAGAACAUUUUAAGAAACAAUGGUGGGUUGAUCUGGUCACAUGGCUAGCUAAAUCUUCCACCUUAUGAUAAAAUCAAAAUCGAAUGAAUAUGAAAUGCUCAUGAUACUAACACUGUGUCCUAUGUAAUUUGAUCACUAGUUAAAUAAAGGCAUACAGAUGUUUUAUGUUGGAAUACCCUUCUUUUCGUUAGAUAUACAUACUGUUAUGUUUUAAAAAUUCUAACGGGAAAUAUAUUUGAUAUUUGAUGUUUUUACGUAAAGAGAGUUAAAAUUGAGAAUUGAAAUGGAGAAUGUAUCAAAGAGACAACAACCCAACCAUAGAAACAACAACAGCAGAAGGUCACCAACAGGUCUUCAAUGUUCGGCACAAAGGCUUCCAAAUUUGUUUAUUAAGACAGAUAUUUCAACAUAAGUGCUGAAAUAUUAAGUUAUUUACGAAAACUAGUUGUAAUAAAGAUUUUACUUUAUGUUGCUAUCCUCAUUCUAUAAUAAAACUAUAUAUAAGCAAUCCAAUAAAUGGACAACACAUACUUGAAAAGGCAAAAAACAACAACCACGCAGUUACAGGAUCCUUACAUGGGGCCGACAUGAUUAGAAUGUGGCGGGGUAAACAUUAGAGACACUGAAUAUAGAAAUUAGAAUACUCGCAGAUAUUAUGCUAUAAUAAAAUGUACAAGGCUAAAAAGUAAUGACUGUAAAUCUUUUGUAUCUUUUUAAAUGAUUUACAAAUGUAGUCAAGAUAAAAAAAAUCUGAAUUUUUGAAACAUUUUUAAUGGUCAAUAUAUACUUUUGCUUGUAGAUGAUGGCAAGCUCUGUACCUUCAUGUGGUGUAUGUGAAUUUCAAAAUGUCUUUAAAACUGCAUCCAUAUGGUGUUCUGAUUGUGAUGAGGGCCUUUGUAUAGACUGCAGUAAGCAUCAUGGAAUUUCCAAAGCAACAAGAAAGCAUGUAACUAUACCGAUAUCAGAAUAUAAUGCAUUGCCUACUUACAUUACAAACAUUAAGCAGACAUGUAGUACACAUAAUGAAAAUUAUCAGAUUUACUGCAAUGAACAUGAAUGUGCGUGUUGUAGUAAGUGCAUCGUUGAAAAGCAUACAAAAUGUCAAACUAUUUCCAAUCUUGAUGAUGUUGUAAAAAACACAAAGGCUUCAAACGCUUUUUUUGAAAUUUGUGAAACAUUAAAUGAAGUUGCUGAGAAUAUAAAAAGGAUCCGUCAAGAUAAAAAUGUUAAUCUGAAAACAUUGUCCGAAAAAAGAAAACAGAUUAAAUGUGAAAUUCAACAGGUUCGGUUAAAUAUCAAUCAACAUCUCGAUAAACUGCAAGAGGACUUCAUAUCGGAAUUGCAUGAGACAGAAAGAAGAGAAAAAACAAAAAUCCAUCAGUUAAUGAAAGCUUUAGAUGAGCAUGAAAGUAAAGUUGCAGAACACCAAGAGAACAUAGCAAACAUAAAACAACACGCAUCAGAUCUACAGGCCUUCCUAUCUCUGAAGCAGCUUGGAGGUGAUGUUGAUGAAAACUGUCAGUUUAUUGAUUCACUUACUGAAAGUAAUGUUCUUAAUCGUGUGGAGAUCAAGUUUAACAUUAAUACAUCACUUACUGACAUUGCAAAUAGUGUUCUUGAGUUUGGAAAAGUAUUUAUUGACAUCUCUAAUAGCUCAGUGAACAUUGUGAAGAAAAAACAACAAGAAGCUCAGUUGAUAGUACCUAAAGUAUCAUCAAUUGUGCCAAUUGAGAAUAUACAAGUCAAGUUAGAACAGACUAUAAAAACCGAAUCAUCUUAUAUUAGAGGAUGUUGCAUGUUGCCUGAUAGUAGAUUUGUAUUCACCUAUCCUGAUUUAGACAAAGUUACUGUAGUUAAACAAGACGGGACGGUUGACUUUGUUCUGAAUGUAAAAGCAGCAAAUGGUAUAGCGUACAACGAUAAAGAUAACACUAUAGCGAUAUCAUCCUUUUGGAGUCGCAUUGGCAACAAAAUAACAAUAAUCGAUUUAUUUACACGAAAAGUAAAGAAAACUUUUUCAACGGGGGGACAAACCCAAGGAAUAGCAGUUACCAAUACAACACUUCUGUAUCACCUAUUCAGCAAGGCAAUUCGAGCCAUGGAUCUGACUGACGAAUCAAUACGUGAUAUAACUACUGAGAACAUGGACACAUUAAUCAACAUAACAAUAUCUGGACACAAACUUUAUUAUUCCAGUUAUAAGUAUCAUACAGUAGUUUGCUGCGAUCUGCAAGGUACAACACAAUGGACAUUCAAAAAUGAAAAGGUUUUGAGUCAUCCAUUUGGAAUAUCAGCUGACAAUGCUGGUAAUGUGUAUGUUGUAGGAUGUGAAUCAAAGAAUGUCGUGGUUAUCUCCCCUGAUGGACAAACACAUAGAGAACUCUUAACUAAAAGAGAUGGUUUAGAUUCCCCAUGUUCAAUUAACUUUAGAAAGGAAACUAAUCAGUUAUUAGUUGCAAAUAAUUCUGAGAAAACGUAUUUGUAUAACGUAUCUAGUAAUUAAAUCACUUCAAUAUUUUAUCUUAAUGCAGUAUUGAAUGAAAUGGAGAAUAAAAGAUACAUAUAUACAAAAACCACAUAGUUACAUGGAACACAAUUGCUAGUAAAAUGUACUUCAUAAAACAGCCCGGAUAUUUCCUGAUAUUCAGCAUUGAAACCAGGAAAUUGAUUGUUUAUACAAGAAUUUAAAUGAUUAGGUUAAGUGCUUCUCUCACAGUUGGUGUCAACUGAUGUUAUAAAAAAAAACACAGAUGGUCAUUUGGUCAAGAUUAUUUAACUUACAGUUUCUACACUAAAUACAUUAUAUUUUCUGAUCUGCAAAAUAUUUGCAAAGACGAUGU
rnacentral:lncRNA from 1 species